UACAGAGGUCCCGAGCGUUGUUCGGAUUCAUUGGGCGUAAAGGGUGCGUAGGCGGCGGGGCAAGUCUGAUGUGAAAUCCUGGGGCUCAACCCUGGAACUGCAUUGGAUACUGCCUUGCUAGAGUACUGGAGAGGAAACUGGAAUUUACGGUGUAGCAGUGAAAUGCGUAGAGAUCGUAAGGAAGACCAGUGGCGAAGGCGAGUUUCUGGACAGUUACUGAC
rnacentral:rRNA from 1 species